UUGUUGGUGAGGUAACGGCUCACCAAGGCGACGACGGGUAGCCGGCCUGAGAGGGCGACCGGCCACACUGGGACUGAGACACGGCCCAGACUCCUACGGGAGGCAGCAGUGGGGAAUAUUGCACAAUGGGCGAAAGCCUGAUGCAGCGACGCCGCGUGAGGGAUGACGGCCUUCGGGUUGUAAACCUCUUUCAGCAGGGAAGAAGCGAAAGUGACGGUACCUGCAGAAGAAGCGCCGGCUAACUACGUGCCAGCAGCCGCGGUAAUACGUAGGGCGCGAGCGUUGUCCGGAAUUAUUGGGCGUAAAGAGCUCGUAGGCGGCUUGUCGCGUCGGUUGUGAAAGCCCGGGGCUUAACCCCGGGUCUGCAGUCGAUACGGGCAGGCUAGAGUUCGGUAGGGGAGAUCGGAAUUCCUGGUGUAGCGGUGAAAUGCGCAGAUAUCAGGAGGAACACCGGUGGCGAAGGCGGAUCUCUGGGCCGAUACUGACGCUGAGGAGCGAAAGCGUGGGGAGCGAACAGGAUUAGAUACCCUGGUAGUCCACGCCGUAAACGGUGGGCACUAGGUGUGGGCGACAUCCACGUCGU
rnacentral:rRNA from 1 species